UAAAUGUUCUGUAAAUACAACAGCAGCUUUCAGCCUGUCACCAUGAUGCAAGCAUGAAAUAUCAGACAGAGUACAGUAGUAGUUAUUUA